CUGACACAGUAUUAGAGAUAACACCAGUAGGCCGACUGACUGCUGAGUGCUCACUCAUAGAGUGGUCAUAACAACACCAUAUAAGGUCGAACUCAACGGUCCGUUCAACUGUCUCUUUAUACUCUCUGAGAUAAACCAGACCCAAUAGGGGUAACCUCUUCAGCAUCCUGACCAAUAUACCAUCGAAUUUCUGGGGUCCCACUGAUGCUCCGUGAACUCCCGGCAGAGGGCAUGACCGUUUACCUUGUAGCUCUGAAUAAACCAAUUCAUGUUGAACCGUCACCACUCCUUCAGUCAUACCACACCCAGAUAUCAGAGGCAUCCCAGAAAUUAGCAUCUAAUCCACGCUGGAUUAAAUGCGGGGGCUCAGUUGUGUGCGGCUGGCUGGAUAAAGGGGUCCUUUGUUUUAUCACAAUUUGAGUAACAUCGCCCCCUCGUGUGCGCUUGUGUCCUCCUUCCCAGAUUGUGGUUUUGAUGUUUGGCUGAGCGGAACUCCUGAUGGCGUCUGAAUUUUAUUUUAUUUACGGUGUGUCUGCAAUUAUAAACUACAUAUCCUUCGGGCAGGGAGCCGUGUUUUUCAUCUGCGGGAUUCUUUCCAUUUCAAGUGUCCGUCAUCCAUCCAAGAAAUGUGUGACGGUGUGUUUGGCCAUGUAUGUAGUGGCCCUCAUUCCAAUGGUAAUUUCAGCGCUCAUCAGAAUGUAUUUUUUUGGUGUAUGGUUUAGAUAUUUCGAAGAUGAAUUACCCUCCGAAAUAAUGAAAACGCUUAUUCAAGCCAUACUGUUCAUUUGUAGCUUAUGUGUUUCUGGACUGCUUAUCUUUUUGUCUACGGCUGCACGUAGAGCUCUGAAGUCAACACAAUCCCAGGUGAUUGUCCAGCACAUCGAACCAGCCAUGACACUUGAAACAAUACCGACUGAAUAGCAUUUAUUCUGCUUAUUCAGUCAUGUUAAUCCGCCUUGAAAUGUGGUAGCCAAAAAAAAAGGGUAAGAAAGGGGGACUACCAGAGGCUAAACGUGUGGGGGCAAGCUGGCAUCAACAUAGACGAUCAAGAAUACAAUGGCACCACAGAUAUGCACAUCGCCGUCAGAUGAAGGAUACUGCCAUGGUGGCCAAGCCGCUCAAGUUGGGAGCUUCCCCUCUGGUAAACUAAUCAAGCAGAAUAGGAAGAAAUCACAGGCUAUGAUGUCGCUACUGCACAAUAUACGUCGGUGAAGGUGUUUUGCAACACGUGAUCUGAUAACAUUACCACUGCGUCUCUGCAGGAGUGGGACCCUGGUCUAGGUCAGCAGUGGACCACGCUCGAGAGCAGAAUCUCUGGAUAAUCUUGAGGUUUUUCCUCCCACUUUCAGGAAAAGGAGAGCUACCAGGAA